CAGCGGGAGGGAUCAUUACUGAGUUUACGCUCUAUAACCCUUUGUGAACAUACCUAUAACUGUUGCUUCGGCGGGUAGGGUCUCCGUGACCCUCCCGGCCUCCCGCCCCCGGGCGGGUCGGCGCCCGCCGGAGGAUAACCAAACUCUGAUUUAACGACGUUUCUUCUGAGUGGUACAAGCAAAUAAUCAAAACUUUUAACAACGGAUCUCUUGGUUCUGGCAUCGAUGAAGAACGCAGCGAAAUGCGAUAAGUAAUGUGAAUUGCAGAAUUCAGUGAAUCAUCGAAUCUUUGAACGCACAUUGCGCCCGCCAGCAUUCUGGCGGGCAUGCCUGUUCGAGCGUCAUUUCAACCCUCAAGCUCUGCUUGGUGUUGGGGCCCUACAGCUGAUGUAGGCCCUCAAAGGUAGUGGCGGACCCUCCCGGAGCCUCCUUUGCGUAGUAACUUUACGUCUCGCACUGGGAUCCGGAGGGACUCUUGCCGUAAAACCCCCCAAUUUUCCAAAGGUUGACCUCGGAUCAGGUAGGAAUACCCGCUGAACUUAAGCAUAUCAU
rnacentral:rRNA from 1 species